CCUACGGGUGGCAGCAGUGAGGAAUAUUGGUCAAUGGGCGGAAGCCUGAACCAGCCAAGUAGCGUGCAGGAUGACGGCCCUACGGGUUGUAAACUGCUUUUAUACGUGAAUAACGCGCCUUACGUUUAGGGCUUUGCAUGUACCGUAUGAUUAAAGAACGGCUACUUCCGUGCCCGCCGCCGCGGUAAUACGGAAGGUCCGGGCGUUAUCCGGUUUUAUUGGGUUUAAAGGGAGUGUAGGCCGCAUGUCAAGCGUGCUGUGAAAUGUGCGGGCUCAACCCGGGCCUUGCAGCGCGAACUGGCGUGCUUGAGUCCGCGGAAGGCAGGCGGAAUUCGUCGUGUAGCGGUGAAAUGCUUAGAUAUGACGAAGAACCCCGAUUGCGAAGGCAGCUUGCUGCAGCGGAACUGACGCUGAUGCUCGAAAGCGCGGGUAUCGAACAGGAUUAGAUACCCGGGUAGUC
rnacentral:rRNA from 1 species